CCCGGGACCCCGGCCUGCGGGGCUCGCGGGGGCGGGGCGGCGCCCGGGGCAGCGAGCGGCGGGUGAGGCCUCUGCGGGGAGCCCGAGUCCGGCGCCUCCUGCGGGGGCCCAGGGGCGAGGUGGAGGCGCGGGAGGACGCCGGGAGCCGCGCCGGGGCGCCGCGGGGCGUCCGUCUCUGCCCCCGAGGUCAGCCAGGAGCCGGCGGUUGGUGCAGGGCCCCGACGGGUGAGGUCUGGAGCCCCUGGAAACACCCCCCGGACCGGUAGCGCUUGGUCUCCACAAGCCGCCCCGAGCCCAGGGAGAUUUUGGAUAAGUCAUUAUUAAGGAAGCCAAGGACACCUGUGUUGUAUUGAAAGCACACCAGCCAUGAGAUCGGAAGGCCUGAAUUUGAAUUCUCGUUACUCACAAAGAACACUUAAAUGUCAGUUGCAGUCUUACAUGGGAGCAGUGCCACGAGGAUGUGACUUGCUCCUGUGCCACCAGCAGUACUUGUGUUGACACACUCGCCAGCCUCCUCCCCAUUCCUCCUGUGUGAGCUGCUGUAGCAGCUAGGACAAGUGCUCAGAGGUGUCCAAGCACUGGGAGUUCGGGAAAGAACCUUCGGUGAAAGUACACAUCCGAUCACCACUUCUUUCCGAUCACCACUAGGAGAGGGGACCCAGGAAGCCCACACGAGGGGAAGUGGCCAAGCAGAGAUUUCUAGAGCCACAGUGAUGAUUUAACCUACCACGCAGCUCUUGCUUACCAUUUUUGGAAUCUUCUGAUGACUCUCGUGUCAGAACAGCCCAAGUGCUGGCACAGCAGACAAAAGAGAGUAGUUUUCCUUUGUUGAGUUGGGAAAGUAUUUAAACGGCAAGGCUGUCUCCCUCCUGGGGCUGGCUGACUUGUGUCCCCCCAAAAUAGAUAUGCUGAUGUGCUAACCCCCAAACGUCAGAACGCGACCUCAUUUGAAAAGAGGGUCUUUAGAUAUUUGAUCAAGUGAAAAUGAGACCAUUGGCUGAUGUCCUGAUAAAAGGGGGCCUAGAAAAAAAAAAGUGGGGGCCCAGAGACAGACACGCAGUGGGAAGAGGAUGACACAGGUGAGGGGACAGAGGAUUGGGGUGCUGAUGCCUCUACAAGCCCAGGAAUGCUUGAGGCUACCAGAAGCUGGGAGAGAGGCCUGGAACAGACCCUUCCCUAGAGCCGCCAGACGGAGCACAGCCUUGACCACACCAUGACGUUGGACUCCGGGCCUUCAGAGCUGCAAGAGGAAGCCAAGAAACGAAAACAAAAAUCCUCAAAUGUUGUUAAAGAGAAGCCCCUGGACCAAAAGGGCCCCGUGAAGGCGGCCGAGAGCGGGCAGACGGGAGGCCUAAAGCUGCCUCACCCGGAAGGACUCCUGGCUUCCCCGGGGAUGCGCUCUACUCACACCCAACCUCGGUCUGUUCCAGAUGGACAAAGGCCUCAGCCCUGAGUCUUUGUUUUCAUUGUCCUAAGACCCAGCUCUUCUCUCUUUUGUCUCAAGAGUAGGCCAGGGUGGGGGGAGCGGAAGCCUGACAUCAGAGAGGAUCCUAGCGAACACUAAUUUCCCCUACUUACCUCUCCCUAAAAAAGGGUGAAAUAAAAGAGACUUCUUUUGUCAAAAACAAAACAAAACAAAAACAAAAAACAUGUGAAAAGCGCAGGUUUGUUGUUGUUUUGAAGAUUUUGAACAGACGAGGUAUUUUCCUUGGUGUUCAGUUUCAAAAUCAACACGCUGACACCUGCCCGUAAAAGGGAAAACGGAGCCGGCUCUGGCAUCAGCCCUCCCCAGCAGCACUCCGAAGAGAAAGGAGAGGCGUCUGCUUGGCCCCUGCUGCCCCCGCCCCCCAACUAAUGACUGUACGAUGCUUCAGGACCCGCCCUGGCCACCCUGGUCACCCCAGGUGCUGGGAGGGGCAGGAGGAGAGGUCAUGCUGUUUGUCCCUUAGGUCCUCUUACUACUGCAAGUAAUCUCUCCACCCAACACGGUGUUCGAACUCAUGACCACGAGAUCAAGAGUUGCAUGCUCUUCUGACCAAGCCAGGCAGGUACUCCUGAAUGAGCUGGAGGCCCAGGAAAUCCAGGGACGUAAUUCAGCCCAAAUCUGAAGGCCCAAGAACCCAUGAUGGUGUAAAUCGCAGUCCCAGGACAGGAGAAGAUGACAUGUCUCAGGUCAAGCAGUGAGGGAAACCCUAAAUGCUUCAAGAGGCUGACAGGCCCUGCGUCCGGCAACAGGCCCAUCCGUACCCACUGCCCUGUUCUCAGAGCUCCAGACACUCUGACCUCCUUUCAGUUCUUCAAACCCUCGGAGCUUCCUCUCACCUCAGGGCUUUUACACAAGCUGCUUCCUCUGCCCGGAAUGCCGACUCAUCCUUCCCGUCUCCACCGGAGCCUCCUCACUUCCUCAGGGAGACCUUGCCCGCCGCCCUAACCGGGCCAGACCGCCCUGUGGCACCGCGUAUUGCUCCUCCAUGGGCUUCUCAAGGUCCCUCUCUGACACGUUUCCCUGUGGUGAUUAGACGGACUCUUUCCUCUCAUCCUGACAGUGGAAGCUCAAGGAAGGCAGAGACCACGUCUAUGGUGUUCAUCUGUUCCACCCUCAGAGCCUGGCGUAGCUCCUGAAUGUAACAUGACAUUUUGUGGCUCUAAGAGAAAGGACAAGGUCAUAGGCAUGUGACCCCCCAUGCAGUUCCUCGGCCAGCCCAUCAGCGUGCUCCCUGCUAUUGCCGCCUUGUGUUGCAAAAGGAUCCACGGAAGGAGCUCCAGUACAAGCAAAAGGUGAUGGAAAGAAGAGGGGAGAGAAAGGUCUUCCGGGGUCACCAUUUCUACCACCUAGGGAAAGCACUAGUGAACCACCGGAAGCAUAAACACAAGGACUCGGUUCUCUGGUUCUCUGAACUAGAAGCAGAAAGGAGCGGCAUUCCUCUCGCCGCAUGGGGGUGACCUUGGAUGAACUCUGGAGGAAUCCAAGAAGAAGGAAGAUAAAAACACUGAAGCUCCGGAAGGCCUGGCCCAAGGACAAAAGCUGUUCAGUGGAAACAUUCUGAGGUUGACGCUGCUGGGGAUCCCCGGCCUUGACUCUGCACCUGAGCAGCCUUAUCUAGUACAGAUUCUGAGGAAGAGUCACAGAGAGAAUCCUACAGAGGAUCCCCUCCCCCAACCCCAUCCCGUGCUUAAUUAAGUGAGUGGCUUAGGGGACUUGCCUCCUCUUCAAGAUUAAGAGAGUCCCCUCGGUUUCAUCCCUUGGAAGUCUCACCAAAUGCCAGUUGCUCCAUGACCCCAACUUCCAGUCUCCAGCCGGCUCUCCUGCAGCCAGUCUUCGAACAAAGGAGCUGGCAAGGGUCACAUCUGUGACUCUCCAAACCCCACAGUACUCUGCGCUUCCCUCAUGUCAUCCCAUCGGUAUUCGUGCCCUGCCUUCCUUCACCCAUCGUGAGCACGUGAACUUCCUAAGGUGAGACAGAGGGUGUGCUCUGCUGAGCCACCUGCACAGACUGAAAAGCCGUCAUCGUGUAAUGAACUGUAGGUUUCUCAUUUUAAAGAAUGACAUUUUAAAAGUAGAGUCUAGCUGAAUGGAGACGUGACGAAUGUGCAUCUUCGACCAAGUCCUCAGACCAUGGAGCUUGAGAACUUAGAAGCCAUCAGUUGGCAUCCUCUUUUGCAAGCGAAGAACCCCUGGUUCAGAGCGUCUGGGGUCGUGCUUGAGGUCACCUGGCUGGGAAAAACCAGAGUUCUGCCAGCAGGUCUUCUGAAUGCUCUUCCAGACAUAUCUUGGGCCAUAAUUGAACAUGUGUCAGUUUCUCCUUGAGUAUAAAGUACACUUCAUGAUUGAAUAUGGUAACUGGCUCACUAUUCAUAGUUCCCCACUCCCUCCCUUUUAGUGCCUGUUUCUAAGCAGCAAAGUUGUGGUUCAGUGACUUCUGUCUGGAUAAUAUGAAAACAGGGCACCCAGCCAAUUCUGAUGAGCUAACUAUUUCCCUAAAUUAUCAUGCCUAAGCAAAGGGCCCCAAACCUGCUGUUCAACACUUAUCAUUGGAUCUGGGGGAUGGGCUAUGCUCAGGCAUAUCAUCAAAUAGCUGAAAUUUUACAUCUAAGAUUGUCAAGCAGUGAAAAUUGGCAUCCUUAGAAAUGACUGACAUUCCCCUGCCUCAUUUCUGCUACACUGAGUUAGGUAAAGAAAAAAAAAAUUCACCUUCACUCUUCUUACAGAUUUCUUGCUGAAGACCCAUGUGACAGGACUAUAAAUUUUCACCAGAAAUUGAUGGGAGAAUGGACCCUUCAAAGUGCCUAGAAGACUUUGCAAAAGGUCCCAAUUAACAGAAUGCAGCUAACACCUCAAAAAAUAAAAUAGAAUAAAUGUUGCAGUGGGAGUGAAUCUUGCUCGGAGUGCUGUGUUGUUGGCUGAUUGCCUGGCAAGAGUGGUGGCCAGGACUUGCCAGCUGGCUGAUCCACAUGCCUGUAAAGGAUGCGGUCAGCUUACACCUUGGCAAACUAUGAUUUUGAUGGAAAUCUUAGAGGUCGGCAGGCGUUCUCCCUCAUAAAGUGCGCUAUCAGGUCAUUGCUUUUGUGUGAGUGAAGAAAAUAUCCUGAUGGCCAGGAUUAGUGGGACCAGGUCGGGACUCUGCUCCAAGGGAGAGUUCAUUGCUGGAUCAGAAUAGAUCUAUAUCCUAAAGGAGACACAGGGUGUAAUUGAAGGUGGCGCAUUCAUCCCCAAAAUCCCCAUGUUAAACCAGUCAGGCCACUGAAGCAAACCAACUGGCUCACCAACAACACACAUCUUCCCACGAGUUCCACUCAGCAACCAGUUCGUCAAACAACUCCAAAGCCACUGUUAUCCUAUCCUUUAAUAUUUACUCAUAUUAAUGUGUGAGUAGUUGUGUCGCUUGUUUCUUUUGUGUAGAGCUGAAGACAGAGAUCAAGGGUAACCAUUCUAGUAGCCCCCACAAUGGCUAGCUUAGCAUUUUUCACAUGGAGGCAUUCAAUGAAUGAUAGAACUGCAAAAGGAGCUUCCUUUGUCCAGAGUCCAUACUGAAAACUUAUAAACUCUUUCAAAAAACUGACAAAAUCUUUCUCAAUUUCCCAGAUGGAUUUAUUUUUUUGAAAUUUAUUAAAAACUGAUUUUAAUAUUUAUUUUUUUUAAAUCAAACACACAAGAAUAGCUAGAAAAAAAUACCGUGAACAAGUUUAAAAACCAAAUACAGACUCGGAAAAGCAUUUGCAAGACUGUAGAUGUGAAUAACAAAGGGUCAAUAUCCUUAGUCUAUAAGAGUGGACAAAGAAUGUGAUCUGGGAAUUUACAAAAUGAGAAAUGACUAUUCAACAUAUGAAAGCAUUUUCAACCUUCCUAGUAACCAAAGAAUACAAAUGGAAUCAGAUACCUCUUUUCAUCUAUCAUAUAAAGAAAAACCUGAGUUGUACUAGAUGUGGGUUAUUUGACUGUACUAGAUGUGGGUUAUUUGACACUUUCACGCACCACCCAUGGCAAUGCAAAAUGAAAUGACCUUUCUGGAAGGCAAAUUGUCAAUGUAUAUUUAAAGGUGAAACUCUAUGACCUGCAGAAAUUCAUCCCAAUUGAAUGACUGCCUCCCAGAUAAAUAUGUAAAGAUCUGUAUAAGCAAACCAGAAGAGCUUAAAUGUUGAACAACAGAAGAUUAAUCAAAUGAGAUAAACUACACCCAUCAUGUAGCCAUUAAAUUGGUAAAAUUCAUAUUUAUUAGUUGGACUAGAAAGACAUUUAAAACAUAUUAAGAAAAAAAGCAGGCCACAGAAAAGUAUGAUCAAGUUUUUGAAAAACAUAUUUAUACAUAUACACAUCUGUUUAUAUUUACACACAUGCACACAAACAUAUAGGUUUAGCUCUGUAAGAUAGCUGUGAUUUACACCUUCCUCAGUGUUGUUUUCCUAUGAAAAGAUUGAUUGAGCUUAGCUCUGUGAUAAUAAAUAUAGGGUUUUGUUCAAACAUACUUAAAGCUUUUAUUUAUUAUUUAUUUAUUUAUCUAUUUAUUUAUUUUCAAGCCAAACAUUUAAAAUAUUUAAUAUUAAAAAUAUUGGAGUAUUAAAUAUUUAAACCAAACAAAAACCGAAGAUUUAAUUCAGCUGACAGAGGUUUGGACAUACAGAAGAGUGUAUCAGAGGAGAACUUCUACAGCUGCUUGCUUGAUUAAUGAUGAAUGUACUAAUGGUUUUUUUUUUUCCUUGCCAGAGAUCAGACUGGAUUAGGUUUUUAGACUUAAAUAUUAGUCAGUGUGAAAUGUGAAUAUAUACAUAUGCAUGUAGGAAUGGGGAGGUUGGAUUAAAAUGAAACCUAACAAGUCUUCCAUGCUUCAGAUUUGCUCCAUUAUAACUAUAUGCAAUCAACCCUUGACUUAUGCUGCACUGGAUAUUGGAGGAUUAUUUCAAGUCUGAGGUUGGUUGUACCGUUUCAAAUAUUUGGAGGAGGGGAAAUUAAUGGGGAAGUGAGGGAGAGUAACAAAACAGGAGGGAAAAACUAUAAAAGGGUAGGGGGAAAAAGAAUCUUUGUUUUAAUGCCUUAGAAAAUCAGUUGGUGGAGAAUAGUUGAAAAUUACUAAAGUUGAAUAUAGUAAAUCAAAUUAGCAUUAGUAUUUGUGAGUAUGUGAUUGUGAAAAGAUGAGCUAAAUGACUAUCUAACUGUCUUUUCAAGACCAUUGGUAAUAGAAUCAAUUAUGGUUCAUUAUUAACUAUAUUAACAGAAAAUUAGCCUUACCAGCUCCUAAAAAUAUGAGGUUGUUAUAAUAGACUGUGGUCCCUUAUCAGCAUAUGUAAAACUUAGAGGCUUAUAAAGCAGCUCCCUUCCCAGAACUACACUAGAUUAGAUGAUCAAUUAAUGGCUAAAAUGUUAUUGUAUCUCUUUUUAAUAUUUCUUGUCAAAAACUUAAAUGUUCCUGAUUCAACUUGUGUUUCUAUUUGAGUAAUAUAAUUUGGUCAUAAUUGGUUUCAUUUCGAUUGUCUUUACAUUUUGGGUACUUAUUAUCUUUUCUCUCACCCACUGGGAAUGCCAAGUACCAAUUUUUGCUAUUUAGCAAGUCAGUAAGGAGCUUCCCACUGAGUUCCUUAAUUAUUGUUAAUUGAAUAUUGUAAAUGGUUUUUCAGGAUCACCGUCUUGGCAAUCUAUGUGACAUUUUUCUCAGUUAGCAAGAGUUAAAGCACCAAGAAUCCUUCUACCCCUUUCCAUACAAUCAUCCUAUCAAAUAACCAGUUCCUAUAAAAACUAGUCUCCUCUCUUCAUAUGUCAAGUCACAUGCAUGCUUCCUGUGGCACUUAGAACAUGGGGACUACUCAACGAGUAUUGAACAACAGCUGUCCUUUAAAAUAGAAUGAUUCCCAGGUCCAGUAUGUGAGGGAACAUACCCUUUCACUUUCCAGAGCUCUUACCAUGCCUCUCAUUCAGCAUGUCAGACCUGGUACUCUUAGGUAGAGUUCGUCCAUUCUCACGUACCAGGACCAAGCUUUCUAGUGCUUUUUGCUGCUCUUUAAUCAAAAGAAAGUAAAAAAAAAAAAAAAAAAAGUAAAUAAAAAGGCUCAGAAGAUCUGAGAAUGUCAGAAAUGCCACAGGCAAAAAACUGGAGAGUAGAAAAAUCACUGAGCCAGCCUUCCUAUGUCCUUCUUGCCUUACGAUGAACAAUAAAAAGAAGUGAGAAAUCUA